AAAGACUUGCGCUAAAGGAGCGGCUGAUGUCUGAUUAGCUAGUUGGUGGGGUAAAGGCUUACCAAGGCAACGAUCAGUAGCUGGUCUGAGAGGACGACCAGCCACACUGGGACUGAGACACGGCCCAGACUCCUACGGGAGGCAGCAGUGGGGAAUUUUGGACAAUGGGCGAAAGCCUGAUCCAGCCAUGCCGCGUGAGUGAAGAAGGCCUUCGGGUUGUAAAGCUCUUUUAGUCGGAAAGAAAGAGUCAUAGUAAAUAGCUAUGAUUUAUGACGGUACCGACAGAAAAAGCACCGGCUAACUACGUGCCAGCAGCCGCGGUAAUACGUAGGGUGCGAGCGUUAAUCGGAAUUACUGGGCGUAAAGGGUGCGCAGGCGGCCUUGUAAGUCAGAUGUGAAAGCCCCGGGCUUAACCUGGGAAUU
rnacentral:rRNA from 1 species